ensembl:lncRNA
CCCCUCCUUCCAGGCUCCUGGUCACAGUGCUGUGUUCACUUCAGACUGAGCCACCAGCUGUUCUCCACAUAUUCUGGGCUGAACCUUUAUUUACAGUCCCACCUUGUCUGGAAUACUCCUUUUACCUGUCAUUACCAGGAAUGUCAUUACUCAUCUUUCAGAUGUCUGUCUGCGGCUCUGUCCCACGCUCUGUGGUCUCCUGCGCCCUGUGGCUGUCCCUGACUCUUGAGGUGAGCUGGCUGCUGCACACAGCACCUUUCAGAGGCUCCACCAGGCCUUGGCAAACGGCCUUCCAGCGCGGGCCAUACCGACAUCCUCCAGAGAGGGCGCCCGAGCAAGGGACAGUCAGGAAAGACCCUUCAUCACUCCCGGUCUCCUCCGGUCUUCUGCUUCACUUCCCAGAUGAUGGGGGCUGUGGGGACGGCGGGGCACCCGGGAGCUGCCCACGGCACCUGGGUGCAGACCUGGUGAGAAGGACUCAGUGGACAGUCCUGGGUAUGAGCAGCACCCCUUCCCCUGCCAGCCCAAAGGGAUGCCGGCUCGCCCUGAUGAAUGUAACCGUAUACUGCAAACACGCACUAUUAAGAUUAAAACUGAAAUUAAACAAGAACGAGAGUGACAAGGUCACCAUGCCUGUGCCCACCUGACCCCCACACUCAAAUGCACAGUCACAGCUGUGCACACUGCACGCAUCACACAUACGUGCCACAAGACACCCCCACAGCACAUAUACACACACUCUGUACUAUACAGACACACUGCGUAUAAACCAUGCACAUACCACACACAUCACAAGCACCCCAUAUGGACACACUACAUACCAUACAUGCAGACAAACUAGUCAUACCACAUGUAGCACCUAUAUACCAAAUGUAGCACACAUACUACACAUAUGCACAUCACCACAUAUACAUACAACAUACAUAUACCACAGAGCACCACACACCCCACCCCGCAUACGAUGUCACACACAUACCACGGACCAUACACUAUAUACACCUCACGCAACACAUAAACACAUCACACAUCAAACACUCCACUACACAUGCACACCACAGACAGCGUAUACACACACAUACACCACACCAGACACAGCAUGUGUACCACAUAGGCACCAUAGGCCACACACCAAACACAUAGCACACAUACCAUGAAUAGACACACAUAUACUACUCAUACUUCAUACUACGUACACAAAACAUAAAGCAUAUGCAUACACAUAUACACCAAACACAGUACACACACACACACACACACACACACACACACACAAAC